GUCUACAGCCAUGCCACCCUGAACAAGCCCGAUCCCAUUUGAUCUCGGAAGCUAAGCAAGUUAGGCCUGGUUAGUACUUGGAUGGGAGACCACCUAGGAAGACCAGGUGCUGUAGGCG
rnacentral:rRNA from 1 species